UACGAAGGGGGCUAGCGUUGCUCGGAAUCACUGGGCGUAAAGCGCACGUAGGCGGAUCUUUAAGUCAGGGGUGAAAUCCUGGAGCUCAACUCCAGAACUGCCCUUGAUACUGAGGAUCUUGAGUUCGGGAGAGGUGAGUGGAACUGCGAGUGUAGAGGUGAAAUUCGUAGAUAUUCGCAAGAACACCAGUGGCGAAGGCGGCUCACUGGCCCGAUACUGACGCUGAGGCACGAAAGCGUGGGGAGCAAACAGG
rnacentral:rRNA from 1 species